rnacentral:ncRNA from 1 species
AAAAAAAAUAAUACUUUCGUAUAAUCUCGGUAAUAUGGUCCGAGAGUUUCUACAAACUACCGUAUAAUAGUUAGGCUACGAAAAUAGUAGG